CCUACGGGAGGCAGCAGUGAGGAAUAUUGGUCAAUGGACGCAAGUCUGAACCAGCCAUGCCGCGUGCAGGAAGACGGCUCUAUGAGUUGUAAACUGCUUUUGUACGAGGGUAAACGCAGAUACGCGUAUCUGUCUGAAAGUAUCGUACGAAUAAGGAUCGGCUAACUCCGUGCCAGCAGCCGCGGUAAUACGGAGGAUUCAAGCGUUAUCCGGUUUUAUUGUGUUUAAAGGGUGCGUAGGGUGUCGGAUAAGUUAGAGGUGAAAUCCCGAGGCUCAACUUCGGAAUUGCCUCUGAUACUGGUUGGGUAGAGAGGAGUUGCGGUAAGCGGAAUGUAUGG
rnacentral:rRNA from 1 species